AUUGAACGCUGGCGGCAGGCCUAACACAUGCAAGUCGAACGAGUGGCGGACGGGAGAGUAAUGUCUGGGAAACUGCCCGAUGGAGGGGGAUACCUACUGAAAACGGUACCUAAUACCGCAUCCCAUCGGAUGUGUCCAGAGGGGCUUAGCUAGUAGGUGGUGUAAAGGUACACCGAGGCGACGGUCCCUAGCUGGUCUGAGAGGAUGACCAGCCACACUGGAGCUGAGACACGGUCCAGACUCCUACGGGAGGCAGCAGUGGGGAAUAUUGCACAAUGGGCGCAAGCCUGAUGCAGCCAUGCCGCGUGUAUGAAGAAGGCCUUCGGGUUGUAAAGUACUUUCAGCGGGGAGGCGUUACCCGCAGAAGAAGCACCGGCUAACUCCGUGCCAGCAGCCGCGGUAAUUC
rnacentral:rRNA from 1 species